rnacentral:misc_RNA from 1 species
GAUGAAGAACGUAGCGAAAUGCGAUAAGUAAUGUGAAUUGCAGAAUUCAGUGAAUCAUCGAAUCUUUGAACGCACAUUGCGCCCGUCAGUAUUCUGGCGGGCAUGCCUGUUCGAGCGUCAUUACGCCCCUCAAGUCCCCUGUGGACUUGGUGUUGGGGAUCGGCGAGGCUGGUUUUCCAGCACAGACGUCCCUUAAAUUAAUUGGCGGUCUCGCCGUGGCCCUCCUCUGCGCAGUAGUAAAACACUCGCAACAGGAGCCCGGCGCGGUCCACUGCCGUAAAACCCCCCAACUUUUUAUAGUUGACCUCGAAUCAGGUAGGACUACCCGCUGAACUUAAGCAUAUCAAUAAGCGGAGGA